CUUCUGGAUUCACCUUCAGGGACUAUGGCAUGAACUGGGUCCGCCAGGCUCCAGGGAAGGGGCUGGAGUGGGUCGCAUACCACUACAUUGAUAGUUUUGGUAGUAGUUACAUAUACUACGCCGAUUCUGUGAAGGGCCGCUUCACCAUCUCCAGAGACAACACCAAGAACACGCUGUAUCUGCAAAUGAGCAUCCUGAGAGCCGAGGACACGGCCGUGUAUUACUGUGAGACCAUCCUCAGUGCUCUCCUUUUCCUGGGUUUGGGAAACGUUCCCACCAAGAUGGACCCCAGUGCAGCCCAGGCCCCUGUGUGCUGA